UACAGAGGGUGCGAGCGUUAAUCGGAAUUACUGGGCGUAAAGCGUGCGUAGACGGCUAUCUAAGUCGGGUGUGAAAGCCCCGGGCUCAACCUGGGAAUUGCAUUCGAGACUGAAUAGCUAGGGUACGGUAGAGGGAAGUGGAAUUUCCGGUGUAGCGGUGAAAUGCGUAGAGAUCUGGAGGAACACCGAUGGCGAAGGCAGCCCCCUGGGCUAACACUGACGCUCAUGCACGAAAGCGUGGGGAGCAAACAGG
rnacentral:rRNA from 1 species